UGCUGUUCCACAAGGCCCAAAGCAGCAGUCCCCAGGCACCAAGCAGAAGGCCUACAGCUUGCCUGGCAUCCUGGGCCACCUUUGGGACUACCUUAUGCAAAGAGGGAGAACCUGGCUCCUUACAGCUCCCUUGACAAUUUUCUCCAUUCUCUGGCUGCUGACAACUGCCCGUGCCCACUGGAGAAGAUUAAGAAGACCUCGGGGACAGAGAACGGGACAAGCGGACCCAGCUUCCUUAGGAACAGAGGAAACGGACAACCUAAAUGCUCUUGACCUGCUCUGCCAGAUGGACGCCUACAUAACCUUAAUGGAGAGACUUAUGACGAUCCUCAUGCAGCACCAUGUGAAAAAUGUCAGGAGCCAGCAGUGCAGGAAGACAGCGCACAGCACGGGGGACAGGAAGAGCCUCUCCACAGACUCCUGAGGGAGCUGGCAGAGGUGACUGCCAAGCCGCUCUCGGCCAUCUACCAGCCCUCCUGAUUAACUGGAGAGGUCAACAAGGCCAAGUGGCGGGUCCUGCACUUUGGCCACAACAAGCCCAUGCAGCGCUAUAGGCUUGGGGAUGAGUGGCUGGAGGACUGUGAAGAGGAAAGUGUCCUGCGGGUGUUGGCUGAUGAAAGGCUCAACAUGAGCCGGCACCGUGCACUUGCAGCCCCCAAGGCCAAGCGUUUCCUGUGCUGCAUUAAGACAAACGUGAUUAGCAGGUCAGGGGAAGUGAUUCUGCUCCUCUACUCUGCUCUCACAAGACUCCACCUGCCGCACUGCAUCCACUUCUGGGGCCCCCAGCACAAGAAAGACAGCAGAGCAGGUCCACUGAUGCUGAGCACCGUGCCUCCAAGUGGCUGUGCUGACCGGGCCUUUCUCAAUGCCCCAUUCGGCUCUGGAACAAGGUCAGCAAGGCUGUUGUUCCAGAUGGCCCAAAGCAGCAACCCUCAGGCACCAAGUGGAAAGCCUUCAGCUUUGCAAAAUCCCCACUGUGGCGGUGACACUUGGAGAGGGACAACAACAGUGACAGCUCAUCAGGCGGAUGCAGUCCUGCACCGGGUCUUCAUGGGGGGUCCCAUGAACAUAUUGAGGCAGAGUUGCUGUUGUGAGACAAUGGAACCCCCUGAAAAGGAUGAACGUUCACAGCGAAAAAGACUUAGCCUUCAUCCAAC
ensembl:lncRNA